CGUGAUGUAAGCAAUCUACUUCUGUAUCAUUUACCGACAAAAGAUUCUAUCAAGGCACCUCUAACGAAUUCUUACAGAUUUUAUUCGCUCCCAGCUGCCAGCUUCUUUUUAGAAUACAACUCGACUCUCAACUAGCAAUAUGCGUUGGAGCAAUUCUGCCCCUCUCAGUAGUUUUCAAAAUGCUCCAAGCGAGAGAGGAGUCUACCAAAUAGGUUUCGGGACAGCUGCUUUCGAUGCAAAAUAUCUCGGGAGGGCAUUGGGCAGUUCGUCUUCUAUAAAGGCUAGACUGAGAGCACAUUACAACAUGAGUGGAAGCAAACACAUCACAGAUGCCAAUAAAGAUGGCUUAAGAGUUAAAUGGAUUACAGCAUCUCAUCCAGAUUUCAUGAAAGCUAAAUCGUUGAAGAAAGAAGACUUUCCAUGGAAUGAGAAGAGUGAGCCACAUGACUCAGAGUAGAAGAUUGGGUAGAAAAUUCUCAGUCUGAUAAACUUUGGAGUUUCUAUAACUCAGUCGUCAGUGUAUGCACUAUAUUUAGUUUGUAACCUAGGAAGUAUCCUUUUGCAAUUGUUGUUUUUCUUAGUUAAAGACUAUA